UAACACAUGCAAGUCGAGCGGAUGAAGGGAGCUUGCUCCUGGAUUCAGCGGCGGACGGGUGAGUAAUGCCUAGGAAUCUGCCUGGUAGUGGGGGAUAACGUCCGGAAACGGGCGCUAAUACCGCAUACGUCCUGAGGGAGAAAGUGGGGGAUCUUCGGACCUCACGCUAUCAGAUGAGCCUAGGUCGGAUUAGCUAGUUGGUGGGGUAAAGGCCUACCAAGGCGACGAUCCGUAACUGGUCUGAGAGGAUGAUCAGUCACACUGGAACUGAGACACGGUCCAGACUCCUACGGGAGGCAGCAGUGGGGAAUAUUGGACAAUGGGCGAAAGCCUGAUCCAGCCAUGCCGCGUGUGUGAAGAAGGUCUUCGGAUUGUAAAGCACUUUAAGUUGGGAGGAAGGGCAGUAAGUUAAUACCUUGCUGUUUUGACGUUACCAACAGAAUAAGCACCGGCUAACUUCGUGCCAGCAGCCGCGGUAAUACGAAGGGUGCAAGCGUUAAUCGGAAUUACUGGGCGUAAAGCGCGCGUAGGUGGUUCAGCAAGUUGGAUGUGAAAUCCCCGGGCUCAACCUGGGAACUGCAUCCAAAACUACUGAGCUAGAGUACGGUAGAGGGUGGUGGAAUUUCCUGUGUAGCGGUGAAAUGCGUAGAUAUAGGAAGGAACACCAGUGGCGAAGGCGACCACCUGGACUGAUACUGACACUGAGGUGCGAAAGCGUGGGGAGCAAACAGGAUUAGAUACCCUGGUAGUCCACGCCGUAAACGAUGUCGACUAGCCGUUGGGAUCCUUGAGAUCUUAGUGGCGCAGCUAACGCGAUAAGUCGACCGCCUGGGGAG
rnacentral:rRNA from 1 species